rnacentral:rRNA from 1 species
CGGCAUCUUGAUGGUGACCUGGUAAAGGUCCGGCGCCCGAUGGAGCUGUCUCCGAUUAUCUGCUUGGUGAUGAAAGUAGCUCAUCACCGCGACGAUCAGUAGUCGACCUGAUAAGAUGAUCGACCGCCUUGCUACUGCUAAAAGACCCACACUACUCCUAGAGGAAGCAGUGGUGAAUAUUGCUCCACGAUGGGGACCCUCCAUGCUGAUGCGACGCCUGAUGGAAGACGGCCGUCUUCUUGUAGACUUCUCCUGUUGGGACACUAGAACUGUAGAGUAACCUACUGAAGAAGCCACGGCUAACUACGUGCCAGCAGCCGCGGUAAUACGAAUGUUGCAAGCGUUGUCCGGAAUCACUGGGUGUAAAGGGUGUGUAGGCGGGAUUGCAAGUCAGAUGUGAAAUCCCACGGCUUAACCCUGGAAUUGCAUUUGAUACUAUAAGGCUUGAGUGCUGGAGAGGAAAGCGGAAUUCCUAGUGUAGCGGUGAAAUGCUCAGAUAUCAGGAAGAACGCCGGUGGCGAAGGCGGCUCACUGGACCGUUACUGACGCUGAGGCGCGAAAGCGUGGGGAGCAAACAGGAUUAGAUACCCUGGUAGUCCACGCUGUAAACGAUGGAUACUAGGUGUAGGAAGGAUCUAACUUUUCUGUGCCGGAGUUAAUGCAUUAAGUGUCCCACCUGGGGAGUAUGGUCGCAAGGCUGAAACUCAAAGGAAUUGACGGGGGCUCACACAAGCAGUUAAGGAUGUGGUUCAAUUCGAAGCAACGCGA